UACGGGGGGGGCGAGCGUUGUUCGGAAUUACUGGGCGUAAAUGGGUUGUAGGUGGUCUGCUAAGUCAGACGUGAAAUCCCUCAGCUUAACUGGGGAACUGCGUCUGAUACUGGCGGACUUGAGGACAGGAGAGGAACGCGGAAUUCCAGGUGUAGCGGUGAAAUGCGUAGAUAUCUGGAGGAACACCGGUGGCGAAGGCGGCGUUCUGGACUGCUCUUGACGCUGAGGCGCGAAAGCUAGGGUAGCAAACGGG
rnacentral:rRNA from 1 species